AUUGAACGCUGGCGGCAGGCCUAACACACGCAAGUCGAGCGGAGCGGCGGACGGGGGAGUAAUGACUAGGAAUUUGCCUGGCAGUGGGGGAUAACGUCCGGAAACGGGCGCUAAUACCGCAUCAUAUCAGAUGAGCAUAGGUCGGUAUAGCUGGGGGGUGGGGUAAAGGCCAACCAAGGCGAUGAUCCGUAACUGGUCUGAGAGGAUGAUAAGUAACACUGGAACUGAGACACGGUCCAGACUCCUACGGGAGGCAGCAGUGGGGAAUAUUGGAGAAUGGGCGAAAGCCUGAUCCAGCCAUGCCGCGUGUGUGAAGAAGGUCUUCGGAUUGUAAAGCACUUUAAGUUGGGAGGCGUUACCAACAGAAUAAGCACCGGCUAACUUCGUGCCAGCAGCCGCGGUAAUAC
rnacentral:rRNA from 1 species